GCUUAACCGGAGAAGUGCAUCGGAAACUGGAUAACUUGAGUGCAGAAGAGGGUAGUGGAACUCCAUGUGUAGCGGUGGAAUGCGUAGAUAUAUGGAAGAACACCAGUGGCGAAGGCGGCUACCUGGUCUGCAACUGACGCUGAGACUCGAAAGCAUGGGUAGCGAACAGGAUUAGAUACCCUGGUAGUCCAUGCCGUAAACGAUGAGUGCUAGGUGUUGGAGGGUUUCCGCCCUUCAGUGCCGGAGCUAACGCAUUAAGCACUCCGCCUGGGGAGUACGACCGCAAGGUUGAAACUCAAAGGAAUUGACGGGGGCCCGCACAAGCGGUGGAGCAUGUGGUUUAAUUCGAAGCUACGCGAAGAACCUUACCAGGUCUUGACAUCUUGCGCCAACCCUAGAGAUAGGGCGUUUCCUUCGGGAACGCAAUGACAGGUGGUGCAUGGUCGUCGUCAGCUCGUGUCGUGUGAUGUUGGGUUAAGUCCCGCAACGAGCGCAACCCUUGUUACUAGUUGCCAGCAUUAAGUUGGGCACUCUAGUGAGACUGCCGGUGACAAACCGGAGGAAGGUGGGGACGACGUCAGAUCAUCAUGCCCCUUAUGACCUGGGCUACACACGUGCUACAAUGGACGGUACAACG
rnacentral:rRNA from 1 species